AGCGAACGCUGGCGGCAGGCUUAACACAUGCAAGUCGAACGGACCCUUCGGGGUUAGUGGCGGACGGGUGAGUAACACGUGGGAACGUGCCCUUAGGUUCGGAACAACACAGGGAAACUUGUGCUAAUACCGGAUGUGCCUCGUAAGAGGGAAAGAUUUAUCGCCUUUGGAGCGACCCGCGUCUGAUUAGCUUGUUGGUGAGGUAAAGGCUCACCAAGGCUACGAUCAGUAGCUGGUCUGAGAGGAUGGCCAGCCACAUUGGGACUGAGACACGGCCCAAACUCCUACGGGAGGCAGCAGUGGGGAAUCUUGCGCAAUGGGCGAAAGCCUGACGCAGCCAUGCCGCGUGGAUGAUGAAGGUCUUAGGAUUGUAAAAUCCUUUCAGCGGGGACGAUAAUGACGGUACCCGCAGAAGAAGCCCCGGCUAACUUCGUGCCAGCAGCCGCGGUAAUACGAAGGGGGCUAGCGUUGCUCGGAUUUACUGGGCGUAAAGGGCGCGUAGGCGGACAGUUAAGUUGGGGGUGAAAGCCCGGGGCUCAACCUCGGAAUUGCCUUCAAUACUGGCUGUCUUGAGUGUGAGAGAGGUGUGUGGAACUCCGAGUGUGGAGGUGAAAUUCGUAGAUCUUCGGAAGAACACCAGUGGCGAAGGCGACACACUGGCUCACUACUGACGCUGA
rnacentral:rRNA from 1 species